CAAACCAAGGAAAUCUAAGCUUCCUUAUGAUCUUGGAAUAAUUCUUGUUUCUCAAUCUUCUCAGAUCAUUUAAUGUUGCCCAAACCAAGUUUGUUUAUGUAGAUUUUUAUUACCGAAGACCAAAGUUGUUAAAUACAAUCAAACUACCAAGUUAAUUAGAGAUGGCACAUCUUGAUAUGGUCUUCACCGUCCUAGG